rnacentral:rRNA from 1 species
AUUCUGUAGCAAGGUUAACCGAAUAGGGGAGCCGAAGGGAAACCGAGUCUUAACUGGGCGUUAAGUUGCAGGGUAUAGACCCGAAACCCGGUGAUCUAGCCAUGGGCAGGUUGAAGGUUGGGUAACACUAACUGGAGGACCGAACCGACUAAUGUUGAAAAAUUAGCGGAUGACUUGUGGCUGGGGGUGAAAGGCCAAUCAAACCGGGAGAUAGCUGGUUCUCCCCGAAAGCUAUUUAGGUAGCGCCUCGUGAAUUCAUCUCCGGGGGUAGAGCACUGUUUCGGCAAGGGGGUCAUCCCGACUUACCAACCCGAUGCAAACUGCGAAUACCGGAGAAUGUUAUCACGGGAGACACACGGCGGGUGCUAACGUCCGUCGUGAAGAGGGAAACAACCCAGACCGCCAGCUAAGGUCCCAAAGUCAUGGUUAAGUGGGAAACGAUGUGGGAAGGCCCAGACAGCCAGGAUGUUGGCUUAGAAGCAGCCAUCAUUUAAAGAAAGCGUAAUAGCUCACUGGUCGAGUCGGCCUGCGCGGAAGAUGUAACGGGGCUAAACCAUGCAC